rnacentral:lncRNA from 1 species
AGGAACCUAACAGCUCAUAAACUAACCAACUAAAAGAAGAAAGACUGUAACAAACUUCUAACUCCAGCAGAUGCCCUGGCAUUGCACACAUAGGCACCAGUUCUAGCAAUUCUUUCCCAAUCUCUUCCCCUCUUCUCAAAUAUUCUCUGAUUUCUCUUUAACCAAGUAGCAUGGACAGUUUCAGCAUACACUAUUUUGAAGACUUGAGCUGUUUGUGGGUUCUCGUUCUGUCUUCUC